GUGCAAUUUUAAACUCGAUCUUGAGGAUUAAAUCGAGAGAUGAAAUAAAUAUCAACGGACGUGACAGCGUCCCAUGCAUAUCCAGAAAUUAUUUUAUAAGGUAUCUUUAUAGGACUUUUAUAAUGUGAUGCAAUAUAAAUUUAUAGAAAGCAUGUCAAAGGAUUUCAAACUGUUUGCGAUUAUAAUCACGACAGGGAGAUCAGCUAAAGAAUAACAAGUUCAAAAUGUCCACUCUAUCUAAAUUUAGAACAAUAUUAAUAUCACUGCUGAUCGACAGUCAACAAGACAUUGAAUCGAGAUCGUGACUGGUUGAGAUUGGAAAGGGUAGAUACUGACGAUUGGAACGGGAGCUGGAAGACAGGACUUACGCGGAAAUAUGAAGAAAUAUACAAGGAGAAAAUGCACAAAUAGACGGUUGUUUUCCAAUAUGGAAUUAGUAUUGUAUAUUUUACAAAGUAAAUAGAAUAUAAACAAUCUAAAGUCGUCUAAAACA